CCUACGGGGGGCAGCAGUGAGGAAUAUUGGUCAAUGGACGAGAGUCUGAACCAUCCCCGUAGCUUGCCUUCUUCCUUCCCUCUUUUUUUGCCCCUCCUUUUAUAAAGGAAUAAAACGAGGCACGUGUGCCUUUUUGCAUGUACUUUAUGAAUAAGGAUCGGCUAACUCCGUGCCAGCAGCCGCGGUAAUACGGAGGAUCCGAGCGUUAUCCGGAUUUAUUGGGUUUAAAGGGAGCGUAGAUGGGUUGUUAAGUCAGUUGUGAAAGUUUGCGGCUCAACCGUAAAAUUGCAAUUGAUACUGGCAGUCGUGAGUACAGUUGAGGUAGGCGGAAUUCGUGGUGUAGCGGUGAAAUGCUUAGAUAUCACGAAGAACCCCGAUUGCGAAGGCAGCUUACUAAACUGUGACUGACAUUGAUGCUCGAAAGUGUGGGUAUCAAACAGGAUUAGAUACCCUUGUAGUC
rnacentral:rRNA from 1 species